AUUGAACGCUGGCGGCAGGCCUAACACAUGCAAGUCGAGCGAGCGGCGGACGGGUGAGUAAUGUCUGGGAAACUGCCUGAUGGAGGGGGAUAACUACUGGAAACGGUAGCUAAUACCGCAUACCAUCAGAUGUGCCCCGGUGGGAUUAGCGAGUGGGUGGGGUAACGGCUCACCUAGGCGACGAUCCCUAGCUGGUCUGAGAGGAUGACCAGCCACACUGGAAGUGAGAGACGGGCCAGACUCCUACGGGAGGAAGCAGGGGGGAAUAUUGCACAAUGGGCGCAAGCCUGAGACAGCCAUGCCGCGUGGGUGAAGAAGGCCUUCGGGUUGUAAAGCACUUUCAGCGGGGAGGCGUUACCCGCAGAAGAAGCACCGGCUAACUCCGUGCCAGCAGCCGCGGUAAUUC
rnacentral:rRNA from 1 species